rnacentral:rRNA from 2 species
GUAACCGGUUUCCCCAAGGCAAUGGAUGCAUGGCCGAGGUGGGGGGGUUAAUCCGCCCCCAUGGGGAAUGAAACCCGGCCCCAGUUUCCUACGGGAGGCAGCAGUAGGGAAUUUUCCCCCAAUGGGCGCAAGCCUGAUGGAGCAACCCCGCGUGAGUGAAGAAGGGUUUCGGCUCGUAAAACUCUGUUGUUAAAGAAGAACGUAUCUGAGAGUAACUGUUCAGAUAGUGACGGUAUUUAACCAGAAAGCCACGGCUAACUACGUGCCAGCAGCCGCGGUAAUACGUAGGUGGCAAGCGUUAUCCGGAUUUAUUGGGCGUAAAGGGAGUGCAGGCGGUUAUUUAAGUCUGAUGUGAAAGCCUUCGGCUUAACCGGAGAAGGGCAUCGGAAACUGGAUAACUUGAGUGCAGAAGAGGGUAGUGGAACUCCAUGUGUAGCGGUGGAAUGCGUAGAUAUAUGGAAGAACACCAGUGGCGAAGGCGGCUACCUAGUCUGUAACUGACGCUGAGGCUCGAAAGCAUGGGUAGCAAACAGGAUUAGAUACCCUGGUAGUCCAUGCCGUAAACGAUGAAUACUAGGUGUUAGGGGGUUUCCGCCCCUUAGUGCCGCAGCUAACGCAAUAAGUAUUCCGCCUGGGGAGUACGACCGCAAGGUUGAAACUCAAAGGAAUUGACGGGGACCCGCACAAGCGGUGGAGCAUGUGGUUUAAUUCGAAGCUACGCGAAGAACCUUACCAGGGCUUGACAUCUUCUGCUAAUCCGAGAGAUCGGACGUUCCCUUCGGGGACGGAAAGACAGGUGGUGCAUGGUUGUCGUCAGCUCGUGUCGUGAGAUGUUGGGUUAAGUCCCGCAACGAGCGCAACCCUUAUGAUUAGUUGCCAGCAUUAAGUUGGGCACUCUAAUGAGACUGCCGGUGACAAACCGGAGGAAGGUGGGGACGACGUCAAAUCAUCAUGCCCCUUAUGUCCUGGGCUACACACGUGCUACAAUGGAUGGUACAACGAGCAGCGAAGUCGCGAGGCCAAGCAAAUCUCUUAAAGCCAUUCUCAGUUCGGACUGUAGGCUGCAACUCGCCUACACGAAGUCGGAAUCGCUAGUAAUCGCGGAUCAGCAUGCCGCGGUGAAUACGUUCCCGGGUCUUGUACACACCGCCCGUCACACCAUGAGAGUUUGUAACACCCAAAGUCGGUGGGGUAACCUUCGGGAGCCAACCGCCUAAGGGACAGAAAUGG